AUUUCUGCGGCUGCUCCUUCUCUGCCUUUCUGUCAUUCUCUUAGAACGUGGGAGUAGACGGAUGCGAAUAAUUUUCAUAGAUUGGGUGACUAUAACGUUUAACCCUGGUCUCAUUUCUAGAUGAGGUCGUGUAUUUUGUGUCUCUUUUGAUUGUGUUCAGCCUCGGGUGUGUUUGGCUAGACGGAACUCCUGCCUGGUUGCAAGUGUCAAGACACCGAUUGGUUUCUUAGUCUAUCUCUGGUGCCUUCCUAGGGGCUAUUGUCCCUUAAUGCAGAAUGCAGGGCACUGUUAGUCGAUUAGAGAACUCAGGAAUCCGGUCUACUAAGUGAACAAAAAAGUAGACGCUUUGAGGUUGAGCAUAUUUCGAUUAAAUCUCGGCCUAGGCCCUAGAUCAAGGGUAUAGAUCAGAUUAAAAUGAAAAUUAGGGUUGCACGUACGCAUAUUGCAUCAGAAUCUUGCAGUGAUUGUUUUUAGCUUCCUGGGUUGCAUUAAUAGAUGCGUUUAAAAUAUAAAUUGUAGACUGAUUUGCAUAACUUUAAAAGCAGAAUCAUUUUCUGCUUGUAUGGUGUGCGUUUGAGGGCAAAAGUAGGUUUGUAUGUUUAAACUAAGUUAAUUACAACUUUGAACUGCAUUUAGAAGUUUGAUAGUUUGAAAUCAGUAGAGCCAUGAUAGACUUUGUGAGGCGCUCUUAUUAAAUCUUUGUUAAAUUUGUCAUCUUCUCUCUAGAUGGGGCGAUGACGAUAGGGCAUGAGAUUCGCAGUUCAGUAGCAUUUUAUGUUCAGUGCUCUUGUCAUAUGUAAUAGAGUGAAGAUUGAGUAGUUUUUGAUCCCACAUGAUAACGUCCUGUAGGUUCCAAGGGUAUCGUGUGUAGCAAAUGGUGAUUGUAGAGAUUAAACUUCAGUUCUCACUUGAAAUUUAAGUAUCAUUGUGAUGCCAAAAUUACUACUUACCUUAUUUAGGUUUCAGGUCAUCUGACACCUAUGGGUAUCCGUUAAUUUUACUGACUUGUGUAGAAUGUCAAGUGUGAUUUAUCAGCUAAUAUCCAGAAAUGCUGUUGAGAGGGCAUUACUCCAACUUCAGAUUGUAGGAAAAAUGUUAACUUUUUUUCAUACAGUGUACUAAAUUUACUGAGUCAGCUUGUUGAAUAAGAUAGAAACCAAGAAUUUUAACGUGAAUAGUUUUGGUUGUCUAAAAGUUAGGCCUUUGUACUUCAAAAGAUAGUGGUUAUCAAAAGCCAUUAAUCUUUGCAGUUUCAGGUAAAAGAAACUAGUUUUGAUUGAGGGUGGGGAUAGAGUUCUUUUUUUUGCAGAAUAGAAAGUAUUAAAUUUUCAUCGAAGUUGAGAGUUAACAGUAGGCCUAUGUAUAAAGUGUGUGAAAACAGGAUUAAGUUAUUGGCCUGAAAUGAUUGAAGCAUUUUAGUUCUGGCAAGGCCUUUAUUUAGACCAAAAAUUUGAUGAUGUAAAUUGUAGCAGUAGGCAAUAGUUAAAAUUAUGUAAUUGUAUAAACACUAAUAAGAUAUUCUUAAUAAAAAUUAUUUUUCAUUAAAUGUCAGUACGCAUUUCGCUUCACAGUAGUGUUGACACUAAGGUGCUAAAAAUUGUGGCAAAUAAUUUUUUUUUGAAGAAUAUGUUUUGUAUUGAAGAGGCUUUAUUCCUUAUAAUUAGGUGUGCAUAAAUGUGCACAGCUUUAGUUAGCUGUGCAUAAAUGUGCAAUCUUAUUGAAGAAGUAGCUUUACAACAUACAAAACACUAGUAUAAUUUUCUGGUAAGUUAGAAGUAAGUUUUUAAAGGAAUAUUUGGAAAUUUUGGAAUCUACAUUAAUUGAAAAACUUUACCAAGGCUGAAUUUGACUUGCUUGCCCAAAAAGUAGUUACUAUGGAAAAGCUCUUUUGAUUUAUGACUUGUUUCAAAAGCAGUCUUCUAUUGGUAUGAAUUAAUGACAGUCAUCUAGAUAUAUAGAAACACAUUUAUUAAAUGUCUAUUUUACUUUUGUAAAAAAAAGGUCCCAGUUCAAAAAAGUAAUUAAAAUGUUGUCUGGUAGUAACUUAGAUUUCCGUCAGCAGUCAAGGUUUGUUUAUAAUUAUACUUUUUCCACUUGGUUUUAAAUUGUUAUCAGGGAUGUAAGACUUUAAAAUUACUCUACCAGGUUCUUACAUGUGAGCAGUGAGGUGACUGGCAAUUUCCCCUUUGAUUUCAGAGUAUGUGGGCCUCUGUGCAUGAAACUUAUGUCACUUAAAACUUUCUCUAACACUGUACCUAGUUAUGGUAUGCGUAGAAAGCAGUAUCAAAUAUUGCAUCGAAUGACUAAUUCUAGAGUUGUGGUUUUAUUGAGCCAAAUGUUGAGAUGAAAAAAGGUCACUAAGGAAAAAGUCAAUGAUUGGCUUGCAUUUUUGAUGGUUGGACUCCCAAUAAUUUUGAUAUAACAAAGCACUUUGAUUUACUUGGUUUCACUUUAUUGUUUUCUGUUUAUUGGUGGGGGGAGUGUUAAAAUGGCCAUUGAGGACUUUGGUAAAUUACAGUAUCAGUUUCUGCAGUCAGCCUGUUAAAAGUUAAAUUCCUUUAUGAAGCUAGUGAUUGGAAUAUUUUUAUCUAAUAAAGAAUGAUUAAUAAUGAAGUGAUUUCUCAUAAUCAGAGGAAAAUGUUCAGUUUUAAAAUAUUUUUGCAAAAUUGGAUUCUAAAAAUAAUGUGUCGGUAGGGUUUUAUUCUUAAUGUCAGUCUGGAAAGCAGUGCUAAAUAUGAGAUUGUAACAUAUUUAGUGUCUUUAGGUUACAUGAAAACUUGAGGCUUCUGUUGAUUGCUUGAUAGGUUUUUGUCUUUUAAAAUGUUAACCAUCGUAGGGAAUGUUUGUAACUUGUAGAGUAUACUGAUGAUUGAAGUUAGCUGUUGCAUGAGCUUUUUUCUUGUAAGAUAAGUGGUUAUUAAAAUCGCCAUAUUGUGAAGUUUUUUUUUUUUUUGUAGCUUUGAAUAGCUAGUAUUUUAUAUUGUUUUGCAUUUGUUGUAUUUCUUUUGUGGACAACAUGAUUGGGCCACCUAAUCGUUAUUUGAUAGUUUACAAACAAUUUUCAUAAAACUUACUCAAGAGUAAAGUACAUCUGAAAGGAGUAAUUUGUAGUUUAUGUGACUCUUAAUAUAAGGAAAAGGAAUUUUAUUGCUGUCCUUUGUAAAAGUUUGCACAAUACUGUCAUCAGUGUAGAUCUGAAGUGCUUAUAAAAUACUAAGUAAAUGCUGAAUGAUUAAAGAUCAUAAAAUAUGGUAAGAAGUAACCAUCUUAAUUUUAAACUUAGUUUUAGAAAGACAACAGAGAAAGAUGCGUUUAUGUGUAUUAGCUGUUAGAUUUUAUUUUUAACAACAUGGGAAAGCUAGCUGGUUUUCAAAUUUUUGUAUGAAACAACACAUUCACUUUCUCAUAAUAACUGUAAAACACACAAAACUUUUAGUGUUAUGAAAUUUUUUACUUUUUGGAAGUGGAGGGGUUUUCGGUUCUUAUUUUCAUAUGAUCUCAUUUUGAAAUUUGCCCCAUUUGCUGUUUGCUCAUUUGAUGAUUGUUUAAUACUUUAUUAAUAAUUUUUAAGCAGCUUAGGAAGUAAUCACUUCAGUGACUUUUAAUGGAGGAAUAUUCAUUAUGAGAAGAUUAAUUCACAAAGUUUCAACAUUAAUUCAUUUUCAAUAAACAUAGUCUAUAUUUUUAAUUUUAUUUCAAAGUUUUUUUAGUAAGAUAAAGGUGUAGGAAAUCUUAAUAUUGAUACUGUACGUAAAAUCAGUUUGUACAGAGAAAUCUAGAAGUGUACAUGCUUAUGAUAGUUUUUCGCUUACUUGAAAUGUUAGGCUUUUUUCAUACUGUAAGGGUUUAGCUUCAAGAAGAUACGUUAUUAAUGAUAGUAUAAGAAAUUAAUUUCAUACUAUAUCUAUAUAUAUAUUUUUUCCCAUAGAGACCAUUGGGUUAAAAAGCCAUCCUGAAGUACUAUUCCAUAGAACCUAUUACUCCUUGGUUUCUGUUUGCUUUUUCUUCUCACUCCCUUUUUUUUUUGGUUAGACAGACUUGAUUUUCACUAAGGUCAGUCAGCAUUGGAGAGUUCAUUUUGUGGCCUGCAUUCAUUAAGAAAAGAUGAUAGGAUUGGUUAUAAGGAUUGUGACUUUUGACAUUUCUAUCAAUUUGUGAGAUUGAGGUCAGUAAUGAUUUCAGUAAAUAGUUCUGUUUUACAAUUGCUUUCUGUUUAGUAGCUUUGAAAUUAAUGUAGUUGCUAUCAGAGAUAUCGAUAAUGUUGAAGGUUAGAUGAAUAACGAAUUGAUAGGAUUAGCUGACAAAACUGGUAUUGUUAAUUCUUUUAUGUAGGCCGUAUUACUGCUGAAGACUGUUUUGGUUUUGAAUAAUGGUUCUCUCUGUGUGUGUUGAAUAUAUGCAUUCACUAAUGUAAAAUAUUUUCAUUUGUUAGGAAGGGGUGAAAUUAGUAUAUUGGAUUUGACUAUUCACCUUUCCCCUAAUUUUUCAAUUUUUUUUCCAUUGGUUACAGAACAGGUAUUAGCAAUUCGACUCUUUUAAAAUAAUUUGCACUAGAUUAAAAAAGGCUGUUGGCAAAUAUUAAUGUAAGAGGAAUAAAUAUAAUUUAGGGGUAAAUUCAUUAUGGAUGGAAAGUUUUAAUUUAGUUCAAUAUAUUUAAGGUAAAUUAUCUUCGGUUACAACAGUUUGCAUUGAGAUAGGUGGUCAUCUUCAGAGUAUAUGCUUUAUUGGCAAUGCUGAGAAUAUUGACAGAUGGAUACUGGUACCUGCACUUGCCAGCAAAAGACUAUUCUUGACCUGCAUGUAGUAUGGAAAAGAAGGCUGUUUAUAUAUUACAUUUUAAAUGAUUACACACAUAAUUCUCAUGAGUAGUCACCACUUCAAACAUGGAGAGUGGUUUCAGAUGUACAAGUGUUGGAGUCAUCUGUGUGUGUAUGUAUGUAAAUAAAUACAAAGUUAGCAAACCCUCUGUCUUAAUGUUUCUUAGAAAUGAACUUUAUUUAAAGAAGAGAUUACCUUUGAUGCUACUGUUUUAUCAUUUUCAAAUAUGGUUAAAUCUAUGUAAAUUACUUUAAAAUGUUGAAUAUUGGUUUUACUACAUUUAAAUGUAUAUGAAGUUUCAUUUUAAAUUUUAGGGAGACAGUGUGGCCUCUGAAACCAGACUGCCUGAAUUGGAAUCCUCACUCUGGCACUUAGUGGCUGGAUGACUUUAAUGGAUUUAAGAUGACCUAAAUACUGGGAAAGAUUUUCGUGAUUUCGAGUCACAAAAUCGUGAUCUGAAAUAGGUGAAAUGUUGGAGUCUUGAAGCUUUUCCCCCCUAAUUCACUUAUAGGAAAGCUAUUGCAUAUUUAGAAGUAUAAGCAUAUUUUACUUAUUUUAGUAAAGCAAAAUAGUAUUUAUCUAAACACUUUUGAUCAGUUUUUCUGUUGUAGGAAUGUUUUAAUUAAGUGCGUAUAGAAGUAAUUUGAAUAAACUGUUGCAUCAUUUUUAUAACAGAGCGGUUGUAACCUGUUGCUCUCCUUUCUUUAAUCAGAAACGGUAUUGCUUGUUACGAUGUGACUGUUCCCUGGAGCAUAUUUUGGAUGAUAUGGUUCAUAUUUGCAUAAUUGUCUAGGUAAUUGAUGAUAUUGAUGGUUUGCUGUGCAUUUGCUUUAUAAUCAAUACUAGUUUCUGUUGGCAGAAAAUUGCAUUUGUUAGUUUCAGACUUUAUUUUUAAAUGUCAGAUACUAAAAGAGGAAAAUAACCUUAUUUAGCUAAAUGAUAAUUCAUUAUCAAUGAAAUGUAUUCUUUUUUUUUCAUUCUUAUUGUUAGAACAAAAAAUACUGAGAUAGAAACAAACGCUUCCUUUUUUUUUUUUUAAACAAAAUUACUUUUUAGAGUAACAUUUUCCCAAAUGAAAUAAAAUUGUUUCAACUCUUAAACUGAAGGAGCUGUUAAUUUAGGUGUGGUAUUAUAUAUUUUCUUGGAAGCUGAUGAGACAGUAGUGAUGCAAAAAUAUUUUGCUUAUGAGUGUCUGUAUAUGUUUUUUUGAAACCGAGUACACAAUCUAGUAUUUGACUAGUUUUCAUGGACUAGUUUUAGGAAAUCUAUAUAAGAUAAAUAACUUAGUGUUUGAAGGUAUGAAGAGGUUUUGCAUAUUGGGCCGAUGUUAAGAUUAUAUGUAAUACUUUAAAAUAUGCCAAGGUGCUGGUUAUUAAGGUAUUUGGAUUCUUUUUAAUACUGAAAAGGUCACACAGAUUGUGAUUAUUGUGUAGUGUCCAAGAACAAAGGCCUGCCAUCUGUUACUCAAAUAUAGGAAAAAGUUAAGAUAAUCUAGUGAUACAAGUGGUUUUGACCCCUCUGUUCUUGGAAUUAUCUAUAAAAUAUGUUUUUUUAAAGACUAAGAUCAAAUUCAAAGCUUUGCGAAAGUAACGCUUCUUAAUAGUUAUGCUGGAGUUUAUAUUUUUCUCUGCUAAAAUACAAAAGUACUAGUUGAGAACUAAAGAUUGUGUAAUGAAACCCUGGCUUUUAGGCAUUUCGCUUUUAGUAGAUUGUUUGAAUAUUUCUGUUUUGAGUAUUAAUCUAUAUAAAAAACCAAACCCACUGCCCUCAAGUCGAUUCCUACUCAUGGCGACGCUACAGGACAGAGUAGAACUGCCCCAUAGAGUUUCCAAGGAUCGCCUGGCGGAUUUGAGCUGCUGACCUCAUGGUGAGCAGCUGUAGCACUUAAUCACUACACCACCAGGGUUUCCUUAAUCUAUAUAAGAUAGUGAUUUUUUGAACUCUAAUUCCUAAAAAGUUGAUAAAGGAAUUCAUUACUACAGAACUUAGGGAACUGUUUUAAUAUUAAUUAUGUUAAGAUUUGCUUUUUCUCAGAUUGUCAGCUUCUCCUAUUGACUUGUAUUUCUUGCCAGUAUUCUAGUAAAAAUUCUCCUGUGGCAUUUUGAGCUACUACGCAAGUUGUUUCUAUAACUUACUUUCUUUUCACCCCAAGUUGCACGUUUGGUUUUAUCAGGUUAGACGUUAUUGUUGUUAGGUGCCGUCUAGUCCAUUUCCACUCGGUAGAAGUCCCUAAAAACUGCACAUUGGGCCUAGUAGGAUCUGGUUAAUUCAGUCUAGUUUGUUUUGUUUAUUAUGUUGACAUUGUUUUGUUUUUCUUGAGAACUUUGUUAUGCCAAAUGAUAUUUUACAAUGUUAGGACAAGGCAAUUAUCAGUAAUAUGAUUCUUAUCAAUAUAGUAAUGAAUGCUAAUAUGUGUGCCUUGAUACUUUAAAAGCCACAUGUAUUUCCAGUUCAUGUUGUUUUUCUCUACUAAAAUACUGAAUUUAAGAAAAAACUAUUUUUGCCAAUGGGAAAAAAAGCAAGUCAUUUUUCAAAUGAUUUUCUAGACUUAAAGUAUGAAGUAAAGAGACUUAUGUUAUAUUAAAUCUAAAUAUAAAAUGAAGUCAUCUAGCAUACUCUCAUUUGGAGCUUUUCCCUUUUAAGAUGGUUUCAAAUUAACAGGGGCUUUGAAAGGUAAAUUUUUAUUGUUAUCAGUAAAUUUGAAUGUUUUGUAGUUUUGAUUUAAUUGCUAGGAAAAAACCCCUACUUGUUAGAGACGUAUUUGUAUUAGAACUUUGGUUUCUUCACACAUUUUUUUGUGGUAGCUUUUGAAUAUUGUUAAAUUAGCUCGUGGUUGCAUCUGGAAGAUUUAGCAUAGAUGGAAACCUUGGAAUCUACUAUUUUUCCAGAAUGCAGUUUGCUAAUACUGGGUGAAUUUUCACCAAAUAUUACUAGACCUUUAUUCUCAAACUACUAUGUCCCAUGGCAUCUCUGCACCUUACCUGUUUGUCUUUUUGCAUAAUUAUAGAGUAGCGAAAAUACCGUGUUUUAGGUAAUCAUUUCUGGUAAAAUAAAUGAUAAAGGUAUGGCUUUUAUAGUGAAAUGAUAUUUCAUAAGUAUCUUAUAAAUCUAACAUUGAAUACAAAGAUUAAAACCUUAAAGGUACUCUUAUGUACUUUAUGGUAGUGCUGAAUUCGCUUAAAUAUCAACAUUAAAAUUUUAACUUAUAUAUUCUUUCAUGUACUUCAUUACAGUUUUGUUGUAGAACAUUAAUUAUUAAGAGUUAGCAUUUAGCUUAAUUCAAGUAUGUCUGAUGCAGGUGGCUGCACUGCUAAUCUUUUUGAAAGCUGUUAUGUAGAUCCGUAUUUUGUUUGAUCUGUGAUCAAUCCUAGAUUUUCUUAAAUGAGAGCAAAACCUUAGGGGUGUCUGUGUGAGUGUGUGUGCGUGUGUGUGUGUGUGAGUGAGAGUGAGUGUGUGUUUUAAUAGCAGCAGAGCUCUGAAACAGGAAACCAGUCUUAUCGUAUUCAUCCAGAGACCUAGGAAGAAGGUAAUUGUUUGGUACACUCGUUAAAACCACUUAGUUGGGCAACUUAAAUUUUUAAAAGUUCACAGAUGUAGGUUUGAACAGUGGUAGAUACACUAUUUCAUUAAUAAACAACUAUUUGAAAAAAAAUACUUUGAAGAAAAGUUGAUUAAAUUAGUUCAGAGACUAAUAAUCCCCUCAGCUAAUAUACUAAGUAAAUUAUAGUUUGGGUUUUAGAUUGUUGCUAGCAUUAUCAGUGACUUAAGAUUUUUUCUGUGGUUUUAAUUUGCUUAAAUUUAAAUAAUAAAAAUUUAGAAUUGAAACAUUUAAAAUUAAAAAUUAAAUUUAUUUUAUCCAAGUGUAAUGGUACUUUUUAUCUUUAAGUUGCAUUAUUGGAAAAAAAAUUCAAAUGUUUGUCACGAGAAAUUGUCUUCUUCUGUUUGUUAAUGUACACAUGUACAUACGUGCAUAUUAAUGUAAUAUGCACAGGUUAAUGUGCAUAGGCACAUGUACACACAGGUUGAUGUACAUACGCACAGGUUAAUGUACAUAUGCACAUAGUUGUAAUCAGUGUUUUCAUACUGUGGUCUGGUUUUUCGCAAUUUUUAUGUUUCAGGUGGCACUUGUCCUUUUUAAAACCGUAUAGGUAAUAUGCGGUCAGGCUGAAUACCAUGGUUUGCUUACUGCAUUGUUAUUAGGGCUUCUUUUUUUUUUUUUCUUUUAAAUGGCAUUAUUAUUACUAUCUUUGUAUAGUUUAUUUUUUUAUUGUUGAUUUUCUUGGAGUAUAUUGCUCCAGUGGGGUUGCUGGAUUGAAAGGUACAUUUUCAUAGAUCCUUGUUCCAGAUUUCUUGCCAAAUGACUCAUAGAAUUGCUACUAAGAAGAUGAAUUGCUAACGGUUCUUCAUGUUACCUUUGAAGAGUGUGAUGUUUCAAUUUAGAAAGUGAGAGCUAUAUUCCUAUUUCAGAUCAAAAUUGUGUGUAGACGUUUUAGUCAUGAAAAGUUCAUAUAACAUGAAAAAGGCAAAAGAAAGACAUGAAGUUAGAAAUACUUGGAGAAGUAAAAAACUUCAGUAGUGUUCAUAGAUCACUUGGCAGUCAGUUUUCCUUUUGGAUUUGGCACUGCUAGCAGAUAACUAAGAAGUGUUAAAAGAAAGCUAUAAUUUAUACUGAAGUGAAUUUAAGUUAAUUAAUAUACUAGAAUUCCUUUUUUCAUAAUUAGCUUAUAAAAACACCGUAUUGAAUUGCCUUGUAAUGAGACAUUUAAACUACAUUUCUAACUUAUACAACCUCUAAAAUAUGGUACCUUAUUUACAGUUGUAGAGCCUUUUGCAGUUGUAUAGAUUAAAAGUUAUUUUCAGAUAUCUUACUUGAUUCUCCAAACAACCAAUGAAAAAGUUACAGCAAGUGGUAUUAGGAUUGUUUUACAGAAAAACAAAACAAAAAUAUCUGAGACUCAGCGAUCAGGUGACUAAACUGAAGUCAUAGGCUUUAUAUUGCAAAACUGGGAGUAGAACCUUGGUUUCUGUAUUAAAUGACAAUAUUCAUUAAGUGCUUACUGGACCUGACACCUUGUAAAUAUUUAAAAUUUCCUUUUAAUCCCUGUAUCCUGUGUUCCUGGCUUUUCUUACUUCAUUCUUACAACCCUCAUUUUUUGGAGCACUCUUCUUCUUAACAGUUCUAUAGUUCAAGCUUUCCUACCUAUGCACCCUUUUUCCCUUUAUACAGUAAGAUUUGAGUCUGUGUAGGAAUGAUUAUAUGUUUUAUAUCUCAGGACAAAUUGUUUCAGAUAAUGAAAAUUAGCACUUUAUCAGCUGGUAAAUUGAAGGAACUCCUAUUUCUGCUUUCAUCCCAACCUAAAUCUUCGGUUGAGAAACCAGAGCCCAUCAAUGUUCAACACACUUAAUAGGGAAAAAUAAAAUCUAAUAAGAAGUAGAAAAUCUUUCAUUAAAUGAGAAAGCUGUAGAAGUCCAUGAGAGUGUCUGGUACUUAAAGGACAAUUUUAUUAGAAAGGUUGAUAAUAUGAAUGUAACCGUGACAUAUUUGGAAAGUAUUUCUUAAAUGUAGACUUCUUAAAAUCUGAUGAAAGAAAUGUAAACCUGAUGUUUAUGAAUCAGUGGAAGAAUUUACCUGUCUUCGAAUGAGCCUUAACUUUCUGUUGGUUGCAAUCACUGCCAGAAAGGGGGAAAAGCUCUGGAAAUUCCUGGGAAAUAAAAUUAAAUGAAGUCCUGGUAUUUGCUAACUUGCUUUUAGAUUGCUGUUGUCUUGUUAAUCUGACCUUUUUCAUUCCUUUGCCCCUGCUGAGGGAUUAGUUUAGUGUUCCUCUUGUAAGCCAGGUAACUUCAGAUUUGCCUUUUGAUUGCUACCUCUCUAAAUCUGUAUAUCACUUUUUUUUUGGGCAGUCAUUUUUUACGUGUGUUAUAGCUUCAUAUUGUUACCAUAUCUUUUAAUUAACUAGAAUUAAAAAAAAAAAGCUAAUCUGUGAACUGUGGAAAUAAUUUUCCUUAAAAUAAUUAUGACAGAAAAAAUGUAGUUAUUGGUUUGUAUACUAGCACUAUAUUUUAGUUUAUAAUUAGUUUAGGGAUAAGCAUACCUGUAUGUUAUCUUGAGCACUACAAAAAAGCUUUUUACAACUGCUAUACUUUUUCUGGAAACCCUGGUUGGUAUAGUGGUUAAGAGCUACAGCUGCUAACCAAAAAGGUCAGCAGUUCAAAUCCACCAGGUGCUCCUUGGAAACUCUAUGGGGCAGUUCUGCUCUGUCCUAUAGGGUUGCUAUGGUUCAGAAUCAACUCAAUGGCAGUGGCUUUGGUUGUUUUUUUGUACUUUAGCCAUCAUACAUAAAAUAAGAUUCAGUAUACAUGCCAGGAGCACAUUAUAAAGUUUGGGAAGCUCUUUUUGCUUAUUUCACUCUAUUUGAAAAUUGUAGUCAAAUUUAUAGUAUAAACCCCAUUAAUUUAGGGUCAAAUAAAAAUUUGAGGUAAGGCAGACAUAUUAUUUAGAUCUCAACUCAGAAGAUGCUUUCUAAAAGGUGUUUUGUUAAUUAGUUGAAACUUGGGACAUAUUUUUAGUGUUUUAGGUCAUGAUGGGAUGCUUAGGCCAACCAAUAAAAAUUAAUUUAGCUUAUAGAGUAGCCACAUUCUUCCAUAAUACAUAGGUCAGCUAUAUUAUGCAUUAAAUUGACUUCUAUAGAUAGACUUCAGAACUAAAUUACCAUUUCCUUUGGACAGUAUAUGUGAGAAAGGAUUGUCGUAGCACCUGGUUCAAGAUUGUCCAUACACAAUAUAUACAAUUUUAAAACUCAUCAGAGUAGUUAAUAUCUUUGUAUUUUAUUGUAUGUAAGUUAUACGUCAGUUAAGAAGAAUGAAAAUGUUUGCUCAAAUGUGAUUAGGAGAAAAGACUGUCAGUGUAUCUCACUUCUUGUAGUUAUGGUGCCAUCCAGCCUGGGCAGGAGUGAAAGUACCAUGUAUGCAUUUCUUCCAUCUCUUUAUUCAUAUACAGUAGUCUCUGAUACUGUAAGGAAAGAAGGUUUUUUUGGGGGGGGAGGGGGAUAUUUUAUGUAUGUUCUCAAGUUAAAAUAAAUCCCUGUAAGUAAAAUUAAUAGAAAAGAAUUAAGAGUUAAAGUUUCUGUUAGGCUUUGAUGUUCUUUAGAAGGAUUAGGUUAUUCAACAAGUCAGCGUCAUUGGGAAAAAAUAGUUACGGUGGACUCUUAUGGUAUAGUGCUGUACCAUUUGUUCAGUUGGUGACAAAUAAAUGUGUUCUAGGCAUUGAUCAUAUAUUGUUUAAUCUUCUAAUAACGCCACAUGUUAGGUAUUUUUACUAGCCCCAUUUACAUAGGCGGAAACCGAGGCACAGAUACAGUACGUAACAUGUCCAAGGUUACAGAGUAAAUGAAACUGGAGUUUAGGCCUAGGCAGCUUGGCUCUAGAUAUGUUCCUAACCAUGAGGCCAGCAAGAUCAGUACUGGUUGCUGUCGGGUCAAUUUUUGAUUCUUAUAAGUCAUUAAAUGCGGUUUUAUAUUAAAUGCUGUACUUACUCAGAAUAAUAAUCAGUAAAUACAAGUUCAGUUUUUUUGUGUGUUAGAAAUCCUUAGUAUUUUUCUUUUUUUAGUUCAGUUAUAUGCUUUAAAUUGUCUAAAAAAGUAUAAGAACUGUAAUAUAUGGAGAAGCAAAAAAGUAUAUUAGAGAGAUUUUAUUGUUACGAUUUUUUUUUUGAAGAGGGCCUGAUCAUUUGCCUGCUGACAUCUCUGACUUCAAGAAGUAUAACAUUUUCACAUUUAUUGGUAUGAUUUUUGGCAUAAGAAGUGUUUUCCUUAAAAUUCAGCACUCAGGUAGUUGCUGACAUCACUAGUUUAGGUUUUUGUGUUCUCUUUUUGAAGUUUUAACAUUUGGUUUGUGAAUCACUUUUACUUGAACCUGUUUCCUUUGAAAAUUUUGUGUUUUUAUUAUUGAUUUGGAAAUGGAAGAAGUCUCAGUUUCCCCUUGUGAGACAGCACAGUACAAAAGCUUGGGCUUCGGUGUCGGAUACUAGCGAGCUUGGAUCAUAGCUUACUGCUGAUCGGCUUGGAGACUUUGGGCAGAUUACUCUUUUUGACCCUUAGUUUCUUUAUCUAUAAAAUGGUAAUAUUUACCUCUUGGAUUGUUAGGAUUAAAUGUGAAAGUAUUUGGCACAUGAUACUCAACAGAUAGUAGUUUUCUAUAUCUUUCUAACUUAUGGAUGCCAAAGUGCUGGGUAAAAUCUCAAGCUGUAUGAUUAGGGAAGGGAAGAAUCUGAGGAACGUGAAACCUUACAAUAACUGACUUCCUAGGCAGGAACAGGGCCAUAGAUUGUUGCUUUGCAAGGGGCUCCUAUGUUGCCCCUAGCAUUUGACUGUUAAGUUGAACUCUGUCAUGGUACCCUUAGAAGUAGACCUAAUCCUCUGUCAGUCCUGCCAUGUCUGCAUAGAUUUGUGUGUGAGUCGCACUUGACUGCUUGUUUUUUUUUCUGAAUAGUUCAUGCAUUUCCAUUAUCUCUGGUCUGUCCUCUGUUCAGAAUGUUCUGACUGCUCUUGUUUCUUUCUCUGUUGAUGUCUGACUUACCUCAUAAGAUGUAGCGUGCCACCUACUCUGUGAAGCUUUAUCUGUGCCCACACAGAAUUAGUCUGUCUCUCAAUCUUAUGUAUAAUAGAGCAUUUGGGCACAGUUAUAGGUCUGUGUAUCUGUCUUCCCUCAUAGAAUAGGAACUCCUUGAGGGCAGUGAUCUUUACUUACUUAGACUUAUAUCCUCAGUGUCCCUUUCACAGAAUGACCAUAUGUUUGAAUAAGUGAAUGAAGGAGGGGGCCAACUGAGUUUAUUGUGUGUGUAUAUGUAUGUACAAAACAACCAGUUAUAUGGAGGCAAUUCCAAGUCAUGGUGACUCGUGUGUCAGAGUAGAUCUGUGCUCCAUAAAGUUUUCAGUGGCUAAUUUUUUGGAAGUAGAUGGCCAGGCCUGUCUUCCAAGGCACUUCUGGGUCGACUUGAACCUCUAACCUUUCGGUUAGCAGUGAGCAUGUCAAAUUGUUUGUACCAUUCAUCUGUGUACAGUUACUGACAAUUUGUUUUGAGUAAGUUAACUAAGUCCUUUAUAACCUUAUUUACUUUAUUAAUUAGUACUCAUAAUACAAGAGUAAAUUUGAAUCUAGUCCUGGGUUAAAAUGACCAUAUUUCAAGGGGCUUUAUACUUAUAUUUCUAUAAGGAGAAAAAUCUUGCUAGCAUUCUCACUGAAAUUAAUGGUUUAGGUUAGGUGAGUUUGUUAGUAGUAAUAAUUACAAGUACUUUCUUUGAAUAAAAUAUAACUUUUUGUUGCACUGCUCGGAAAAACUUAAGUGAUUUCAUUUUAUAUUCUUGACUAAAAUGUAUUUUUAAUUUUUUGGGUAAGAAUUCCAGAUUGGUGGUUGUUGCUAUUUUGAGUUCUCUGCAGCUAACUUUUUUUAAUCGUGCUUUAGGUGAAAGUUUACAAAUCAAGUAAGUCUCUCACACAAAAAGCCAUACACACCCCACUGUGCACUCCCAGCUGCUCUCCCCUUAAUGGGACAGCACAUUCCUCCUCUCCACCCUGUAUUUCCCGUGUCCAUUCCACCAGCUCCUGUACCCAUCUUCCUUCUCAUCUUGCCACCAAACAGGAAUCGCCCGCAUAGUCUCAUGUGUCUGCUUGAGCCAUGAAGUUCACUCCUCACCAGCAUCAUUGUCUAUCUUAUAGUCCAGGCCAAUCCCUGUCUGUAGAAUUGGUUUCAGGAAUGGCUCCGAUCUUGGGCUAUCAAAGGGUCCAGGGACCAUGACCGUCAGGGUCCCUCUAGUCUCAGUCAGACCAUUAACCCUGGUCUUUUUAUGAGAAUUUAAGAUCUGCAUCCCACUGUUCUCCUCUGUCAGGGAUUCUCUGUUGUGUUCCCUGUCGGGGCAGUGAUCGGUAGUAGCCAGGCACCAUCUAGUUUUUCAGGGCUCAGGCUGAUGGAAUCUCUGGUUUAUGUGGCCGUUUCUGUCUCUUGCGCCCAUAUUUACCUUGUGUCUUUGGUGUUCUUCAUUCUCCUUUGCUCCAGGUGGGUUGAGACCUAUUUAUUCUGGCUGCUACUUCUGGUGCUUCAUUUUUUUCUGUUAUUUCCCAUUUUCUUCCAUUUGUGCUUGAGGGUAGAGUUAAGAAAUCAAAAAUAUUCCAUUUCAGGAAUCGCUUCUGCCUUAGGCUUGAUUUUGAAUCUCCAGUCUUCUGCUUUUUUUCUCUUGAAUGUCUAUAAAACCCCAAAACAUUUUGAUAAUCGAACGAAAGCUACAUUUUUAUCUUUCUUUGGGAGCCCUUAUAGUAUAAGAACCCUUUGAGGUUGGGGAUGAAUUUAUGUGUUCUUAAAGUGACAAAAGUUGUUCUGGGCCCGUAGUAAUGCUGUUUAAGUCUUAGAUGCUGUUAUUCUUAUAACUUUUUUUGUGUAGAAAAUCAGCACUUUUUAAAAAUGACUUACAGAGCUGAUUCUAAGUCACAUAGGACAAGAUGGUAUUUUGUUGUGACAGUUACUAAAUAGACUUGGAAAUAGUUAUAAAACGAACAAGUUAAAAAAUUGAUUACAGAAACAGUGCCAGGUACGCUAUAGCAAAAAUAAAAAAUACAAAACAGGCAAAAAAUGUGAAAGAAAAAAAAUACAUUCCCACCAUCUAGAGAUUGCUUGUGUUAAUGUCUUAUUGUAUAUCCUUUUUAUCUACAUAUAUCUAGUUGGCUUAAAAAUGUCCUUUUUGUCUGGUUUGUUGCAAAACAAUAUUCAUACCAGUAUCGUACCUUGUGCCACCUGGGUGCAGGGACCUUUAAGUCUUUUUAGACAUUGGACUCUCCCAACCCAUCUUUUGAAAUACUGACUUAUUGAAGAGACGGAGCCUUAUCCUAUAGACCAUAUGGUGCCUUUCGAAUCUGCCCAGUUUACUUCUUAAUAAUAUCAUUUAGAUUGUUCUUCCACAUAUAUUUCCUGUAAGUUAGAUUUCAUAUAUAAAGGUUUGGUGGAUCUAGGUUCAAGAUACUUGGCUAUCGUAGAUGAUGUGUCUUUUAUUUUGGAUCACAUUGGAAGUUACAUAAUCUGUACUUGACUCACUUGGUGAUGCUGAGAUUGACUAUUGAAAUUGGGUGAUGAUAGUCUUUUCUGCCUACUGUUCAGUUGUGUUUGUCUCCUUAUGUUCGAAAGUGUUUUGUGUGAUGCUAUUUGGCUUAAUAAGAAAGGUCGGUUCCUCAUCAACUACUCACCUACUGACUUAGUGUUAUUUGUUAAUCCUUGCCUACAUCAGUAAUUACAUUAGUGAUUGCAAAAUGUGAUUUUUCUAGUUCUGUCCUUCCUUUUACAUUUAUUAACUGGUGCUCUUCUGUAUAGUAGAGCUUUACCUUAUGAAGUAGAGCUGUUUGGUUACUCUGAAAUACAGUUCCUCCAUGAAAAGCAGGAUAAAUAAUCUUCCCCUUGACCAGUUUUCAGAGUAAAGAGUUAUUCCAGUAGCUGCUCAAAAUGUAAUAAAUGAAAAGGGUUUCUUCUCGUUUUGAUUUGUAUUUUUAACUGUUUUGAGUAUCAUUAUAGAUUCUGGGAUUUUCAUUUUAUUAUGGGUUUUUAAAUUUACUAUAAUUUCAUCUUUUUCUUUGUUGCUUAAAUUGUCGUAAUUUUAGGCAUUGGGAGCUCUUUCUAGCCUUGGUGACACAGUGGUUAAGUGCUUGGCUGCUAACCGAAAGGUUGGUGAUUCAAACCCACUGGCCCCUCUGUAGGGGAAAGAUGUGGCAGUCUGCUUCCGUAAAAAUUAAAGCCUUGGAGACCGUAUGUGACAGUUCUGUCCUACAGGGUCUCUGUAACUCAACAGCAAAGGGUUUGGUUUUUAAUGGAAGCUCCUUCAUGCCAGCUCCUGUGUCCUUUUGGCAAAGAUCAUUAAUCUCUGUGAGCCUUCCUUGCUCUUUGGCACAGAAAGUUAUCCCAGGCUCACUUUGUACCUUGCCUGAGUCAGACCUGGGAUCAGCUAUUUCUCCAAGCAGAUGAAACUUUGAAUUCUAGGAGUGCUUAUUGCUGCUAGGCUGACCUUGCUUAUAGGCCAUUUCUCUGAAAAGACCUAGAACAUAUAGAAUUUUACAAACAUGAGUUCAUAUUGAUAUUUUUAAUUCAUGUUAUCUAUUUAACACUAAAAAUCCUGAAUCUUAAAAUCAUUCACCAGUUAAAAGAACCAUUUGCCGUCAAGUCAAUUCCAGCUCAUGGUGACCCCAUGUGGAACUGUGUUCCAUAGGGUUUUGGUUCUUCCAUUUUUUAAAAAUUGUGGUGAAAAUAUACGUAACAAUACAUACACCAACUCAACAAUUUCUACGUGUACAAUUCAGUGACACUGAUUACAUUCUUCAAGUUGUGCAACCGUUCUCGCUAUUCUUUUCCAAAUCGUUCCGCCACUAGUAACAUAAACUCAGUGUCCCCUAAGCAGAAACUCCCCCCUUCCCUUUCACUUCUGGUAACCACUAGUAAACGUUGGCUUCUAUGUAUAUGCUUAUUUCAUGUAAGUGAGAUGGCACAGUAUUUGUCCUUUUGCGACUGAUUUAUUUCGUUGAGCAUGUUUUUGAGGUUCAGCCAUGUUUGAUAUGCAUCAGGACUUUAUUUCUCUUUACUCCUGAGCUGAGUAAUACUCCUUUGUAUAUAUGUACCACAUUUUGUUUUCUGUUUGUCUGUUGAUGGACAGUUUAGUUGUUUCCAUCUUUUGGCUCCUGUGGAAAGUGCUGUAGUGAACAUGGUAUACAAGUUUCCAUAUUGUUUUCAGUGCUGAUUUUUUUGGAAGUAGAGUGCUAGGCCUUUCUUCUGAGAUAGCUCCGGGUGGACUUGAACCCCUAGCCUUUUGGUUAGCACCGAUCUUGUUAACUGUUUGUACCACUUGGGGACUCCAGUAAGCACACAGUAAUCUUACAGAGAGUUCCUGGGUGGUUCAAAAGGUGAACACGUUUGACUGCUAACAAAAAGAUUGGAAGUGACUCAUCUCAGAAGAAAGGCCUGGCAGUCUAAAAAAAUCAGCUUUUGAAAACCCUAUGGGGCAUAGUUUUACUCUGACACACUGUGGGGUUGCCGUGAGUCAGAAUUGACUCAACGGUAACUGGUUAAUCUUACAAAUAGAACUCAUAAAGCACAUACAGCCUUUUCUUAAAUUGUAAUAUAAAAAUCAUUGUCAUUUGGUAAUUAUUUUUUGGAUUGAGAUUAAUGUCGAAAUAAAGUCAAUGUGAAGAAAGCGGCAAGUAAAAGAAAAAAGCUUAAGGAAGGCCACUAGAUUAGGUGAUUUUGAAUUAUAUACAAUGAAUAGGUCCAGGAGUAGGGAUGGUCUUUAAGGGAAGUUUUACGCAAAUUAGGUUGAAUGGAGUGAAAGGUCUGUGUUGGAAAAUUGAGAUUACAGAGGAUUGAUGGAGCUCAAGAAAUAAAGUGGUGUGAAGGACAAAAUGUGUAGAACUUGUUUUUUUUUUUUUUUACAGCUGGAUAUUUGAGUGUCUUUUUUUUUUAAUUUUUAUUGUGGUGAAAUAUGUAUGCCAAAACAUUUGCCAUUUCAGUCAUUUUUACAUUUGCAAUUCAGUGACAUUAAUUGCAUUCACCAUGUUGUAGAACAAUCACCACUAUCCAUUUCCAAUUUUUUAAAAUCACCCUUGACAAAAAUCUGUACCCCUUAAGCAAUCCACCCCCAGCCCCCCAGCACCACCCCAUUAUUCCCUAUUAGCUGUCUCUGGUAAUCACGAAUUAACUUUGUUCUCUGUGCAUUUGCAUCUUCUGGAUAUUUCAUACAAGUGGGAUCAUACGAUAUUUGUCCUUUUAUGUCUGACUUAGCAUUAUGUUUUCAAGGUCCAUCUGUGUCAUAGCAUGUAUCAGAACUUCAUUUCUCUUUAUGACUGAAUAAGAUUCUGUUGUAUGUGUAUACCACAUGUAUUGAUGGACACUUGGGUUGUUGCCAGCUUUUGGCUACUGUGAAUAAUACUGCAAUUAACAUUGAUGUAUAAGUACUGUUUGCAUUUUUGCUUUCAAUUCUUUUGGGCAUAUACCUAAGAGUGGAAUUGGUGGGUCAUAAAGUAGUUCUGUGUGUAAUUUAUUGAGGUACUGCCAAACUGUUUUCCACAGUAGCUACACCAUUUUACAACCCCGUUGGCAAUGAAUGAGGCUUCCAACUUCUCCACAUCCUCACCAACACAGCAUUUCACAACCCCAUCGACAAUGAAUGAGGCUUCCAAUUUCUGCACAUCCUCACCAGCACUUGUUAUUUUCUGUUUUUUGAUAAUAGUCAUGCUAGCCAUCCUAGUGGCAGUGAAGUGGUAUCUCAUUGUGGUUUUGAUUUGUGUUUUCCUGAUGACUAAUGCGUUGAGCAUUUAUUCAUGUGCUUACUGGCCAUUUGUAUAUUUUCUUUGGUGAUCUAAAGGUUUGUUUUAUGUCAUCUAUAGUGUGUAAGCUAUGAGUUGGAAUCGACUCGACAGCACUGGGUGGGUAUAGUGUGUAAAAUAAGUGAAUAUAACGGGCAUGCUAAGUGUUGAUUAGGGAGCCCUUGUGGCGCAGUAGUUAAGAACUUGACUGCUAACCAAGCAGUUGGCAGUUUGAAUCCACCAGUAGCUCCUUGGAAAUCCUAUGGUGCAGUUCUACUCUGUUCUAUAGGGUUGCUAUGAUUCGAAUUGACUCGACGGCAGUGAUUUUGUUUUUAAAGUAUUGGUUACAUUGACUACCUCAGUUUAGUGUCAUCAAGUCAUAGACACUAAGGGCUUGAAGAGACUUUAGUGGAUGUCUUUUUCAGUCUUCCCAUUAUGUGUUGUUAGAUGCUCUUGAGUUGAUUUUUGACUCAUAGUGACUCUGUGUCACAGAGUAGAACUGCCUCAUAGAGUUUUCUAGGCUGUAAUUUUUAUGGGAUCGGAUCACCAGGUCUUUCUCCUGCAGAGUUCCUGGGUGGGUUUGAAUUGCCAACCUUCUGGUUAGCAACCAUUGUGCCCCAGGGCUGCUUACAUAGGUGAAGUUGAGUCCCAGAAAGGUUAAAUGACUUGUCCAAAUGACACAACUAGUUACAGACAUAGUCAACUCUUAUAUCUCACCCCCUGACUCUCAUUUUAUCUACUUUUCUCUACAUUGUGAUGCCUUUUUUAACCAUGAAAAAUUAAAAAAAAGAAGUUGUAAAAUUAAGUGUUUUUAGGCAUAUGCAGAUUUUUUUUGUUUUUGACUCAAUAUAUUAGUUCUGUGAUUUACAAAGUCUAAGGUUUUUGGUUUUUUUUAUACCUAGAAUAUGUAUGCCUAAAUACUGUAAAUAUGAAGUUACAUUUUACCUUAGAUGCACUUUUAAUGUACUAAGUAGAGGACUUUGAAAUUAUUUUGCCAAGUAAUUUAUUUUCAACUUUUUUUUUUCAUUUAUGUAUUUAUCAAUAUUUCUUAAUUACACAUGCUGGUUUGUAAAUAAAUACAUUUGAUGACUUUAUAUUAAUGUAGCUAUGAUAUGGAAAGCUUGCUUUUUUAUAACUACUGUUUUAAAAUAUGCAUUUUGUUUGCGUUUGUGCA